UACGAAGGGGGCUAGCGUUGCUCGGAAUUACUGGGCGUAAAGCGCACGUAGGCGGCUUUCUAAGUCGGGGGUGAAAUCCUGGAGCUCAACUCCAGAACUGCCUUCGAUACUGGAGAGCUUGAGUCCGGGAGAGGUGAGUGGAACUGCGAGUGUAGAGGUGAAAUUCGUAGAUAUUCGCAAGAACACCAGUGGCGAAGGCGGCUCACUGGCCCGGUACUGACGCUGAGGUGCGAAAGCGUGGG
rnacentral:rRNA from 1 species